rnacentral:misc_RNA from 1 species
CUGAGAAUUUUGCUGUGGAACGCGCACAAAUGAUGAUACAAAAACUUUUUUUAUCAUGCCUUUAAAAUUUAACUUUCUACCAUCCAAUUUUAUAUUUAUUAUUUUACGAUUUUAACUUUAACCCUUUUAAAAUUUACCCGAAUUACGCAGUUUAAACAAGAAUCACCGAUUGUAUAUAAUUUUAUUUUUUCCGCAAUAUCAUCAACUCUGUAUAACGGGAAAGCGUUAAUAGCGCAAAAGAUUAAAGUUCAUUAGCUUCUAGCUUUCUAAAAAUAUUAAAUGUACAAAACACUUUAGACCAAGUACCUAUAUACUAAUCUGAGUUUAAUACAGUAUAUCUACUGUAAAUUUAAAGGAUAAUAAUUUUAUCAAGAUGACUGAUUUAUUAAAAGAUUUUAAAAGUGGGCCUUUGGAUGUUUAUAGAAAAAAAGCAUCAUUUGAUUGGAAAAAAUUGAAGAUAUUCCUGGAUACUGAAGAAGGUGUAAAAUAUGAAAUCGAAUUUUAUAAUGAACUUGAAAAAUACAAGGAAUUCAAAAAUCAUGAUAGUAUACAUGGUAUUUCGUUUGAUGAAGAAAGAAGAUUAGCAUUACAUCAGUGUUUUGCGUAUAAAUCAAUUAGAUUGCAUUCGCUGGAAUAUCAACUUGGAAAUUUAAUUUUUCCUUCGAUUUCUAAUAGAAUCGCCACACAAUUUCUUCCUUCCGCAGCAAUAAAAUAUAAUGUUUCGAUAACUUUAUUUGUCAAUGCUAUUCGUUCCUUAGGCACUGAAAGACAUUACCACUUUUUAGAUGACGUAGAAAUGGGAAAUAUUACAGGCUGUUAUUGUUUGACUGAAAUAGGUCAUGGGAGCAAUGCAAAGGGCAUGAGAACCACUGCAUCAUAUAACAAAGAAAAGAAAGUUUUUAUUCUACACUCUGAGAAUUUUGAAGCAGCAAAAUGUUGGGCUGGUGGUUUGGGCCAAACAGCAAGCCAUGCUUUGGUUUAUGCGCAAUUGAUAACCGGUGAAAGAAAAUAUGGACUACAUUGUUUUGUAGUUCCUAUCAGAGAUCCCAAAUCUUUACUGCCAUUUCCUGGUAUAAUUGUUGGGGAUAUGGGUGAAAAAAUAGGUCUUAAUGGUGUUGACAACGGGUUCUUACUAUUUAAUAAUUAUGAAAUACCUCGAGAGAAUUUACUAAACAAAUUAGGUGAUGUAAGUGAAGAUGGACAAUACAUUACUCCCUAUAAGGAUCCUAAUAAAAGACAUGGGGCUGCUUUAGGAAGUCUUUCUGGGGGUAGAGUAUACAUUACUGGGAUGUGUGAGGCUUAUACUACUCACGCAUUAACUAUUGCUAUCAGAUAUGCUGGUAUACGUAAGCAGUUUGGUCCUAAUGAACUUACCGAAGUGCCGCUAUUAGAAUAUCAAACGCACCAAUAUAGGCUACUACCGUAUCUAGCAGCUGCUUAUAUUCUUAGAAUAUUUUCUCCAUGGUUGAUUACAGUUUUGUACCAGUUUUCCAUAGAUGCGAUUAUGGGUAAUGAUAAAGAAUUACAGGCUCAACAAGGCUUAGAGCUACAUGCUGUAUCAUCAGCUUCGAAGCCUGUCGCUGGUUGGAUUGCAAAACAAGCAAUUCAGGAAUGCAGAGAGGCUUGUGGUGGACAUGGUUACUUAAAAGCUUCCAGGAUUGGAGAUAUUAGGAAUAAUAAUGAUGCUAACUUAACAUAUGAAGGAGAAAAUCAUAUUUUAAUUCAACAAACCAGUAACUGGCUACUGAAAUUCUGGCCAUUAAUAUUAAAUAAAAAGGAAAUUUCUUCUCCUCUAAAAUCUGUAAAUUUCCUAGGCGAUAGUUUGAAUAUAUUACAAAAAAAUAAAUUUUCUGCCACAUGUAUUGAAGAAAUGCGUUCACCAGAUAACAUUAUAUCCACUUACCAAUGGUUGGUUGCUUAUUUAUUAAGAAAAACCCAUACAAAUUUGGAAAACAGCAUGAAAAGUAAGGAUGUAUUUUGGGCCAAAAACGAGAAUCAAGUAUUCAAUGCGAAGAAUUUGUCGGUCGCUUUUAUAGAGCAUUUUAUGUUGCAAGUUACCCUAAGUAAAAUAAAAGAGGCUUCAGAAGAAUCUGUUAAAAACGUUCUCUUAAAAUUGUUUUCUCUUUUUGGACUUUGGUCGCUGGAGAAACAUGUUGCUUCCCUAUACGCAGGUGAAUAUGUAUCAGGUCCACAAUUUGUAACUCUGCUUGAAAAUUCAAUACUGAGACUGUGCUCAGAUCUUAAGGAUGAAGCUAUUUAUUGAUCGAUGUAAUUGCGCCACCCAUUUUGUUAUAAAUUCGGUUUUGGGUGCGUCUGAUGGUGAGGUCUACAAACAUCUGCAGUCCGCCUUAUUCAGCUCUCCUUAUGCGAUGAGUAGACCAAGCUGGUGGCAAGAAAUAAUAUCUUUGCGCGAAAAUACUGUGCAAUCCAAGCUUUAAAAUAUUGUUUUACAUAUAUGGGAUUUUAUAAGCAAUAUAUUUUAUUUUUGAUA